rnacentral:rRNA from 1 species
AGCUGAGUUUGAUCCUGGCUCAGGAUGAACGCUAGCGGCAGGCCUAAUACAUGCAAGUCGAACGGUGAUAGCAAUAUCGUAGUGGCGCACGGGUGCGUAACACGUAUGCAACCUACCUAUUAUUGGGGAUAGCCUUUGGAAACGGAGAUUAAUACCGCAUAAUACGAUUGACUGGCAUCGGUUGAUUGUUAAAGCUUUGGCGAUAAUAGAUGGGCAUGCGUCCAAUUAGUUAGUUGGUUAGGUAACGGCUGACCAAGACGAUGAUUGGUAGGGGAUCUGAGAGGAUAAUCCCCCACACUGGCACUGAGAUACGGGCCAGACU